rnacentral:lncRNA from 1 species
AUUUGGCCUUUGGCAAUUCAGUAAACAUUUUAGCAAUUUCUUCUUUCCUGCCUGCUGAAGACUGACUUCCUCCUGCUGCCAAAGUUCUAGAGUCUGGACGUCUGAGAUCAGGGUGCCAGCACUGUCGAGGUCACAGACUGCAGACCUCCUUGUAUCUUCAAAUGGAGGAAAGAGGACAAGAGAGCUCCUGUGGUCCCUUUUAUCAAGAUGAAUGCACAAGGAAAAUGUUGUACAUUUGCACAUUGGAGUACACUUCAGCCAUAAAAAGAAUGAGAUGCUGUCAUUUGCAACAACAGGCCUGAUAAUAUUGAACAUCCUUGCAUCCAUUAAAGUUUACUGUUCUAAGACUUACUUUAACCAAGGUCAACAGCAAUCUGAGACACACUCUUCUCAUGGCAGAUUAUGGGACCAUAAAGCAGAAAAACAAGGAUAUCUUCAACAGAUGCAACUAUCACCAGUUAAAUAUGACGUUGGAGGACUGUUGGAAACAGAACUUCAUGAUUAAUUUGACAUGAUUUUGUGUAAUUUAGGUUUCAUGCUUUUUAUUUCAAGAUUAUACAUUUGAAUCAAUUUUGCUUGACUAUAUUGUCCAGUAGCUAACUACUCAAAUGGGAAUGCUUGUGUACUUUUAAAUUAAGAGUGUUUAGUGAGAGCAAUUUUGAAGACAAAGGUAAACAAAAUAGAGUAUUAGCUUAUCUCUACAGUUCAGUGGUACAAGUAUAAAGAUUUUUUUGCAAUGUAAUUUCUAUCAAAGCUUAUGUCUUAUUAAAUUGCUGCACUUUGAGCUUAUUUUUUGCAGUAUUAAAAUUUUAUGAAUAAAACCUAAAAAUUACCCUUGAUUUAUCUUACUUUAAUUUCUACAACAUGAUUCUAACUCCAAAACAUAUCAUUAAUUAUUAAUAAGUUUUUCAUCUCCAAUUCCCUGAUCCUAACUUAAAUUAACAUCAUAUGUCACAAGAAAUAUUAUAUUUUCCUAAUGAUAUUGUUUACUUCAUUUUUGCUCAUACUGCCAACACCCCAUGCCCUUCUCAGCAUAGCAACAGCAAGGUUGACUUAAUUUUAUUUUGUUGAUUGGUGGUUUUUUUUUGCAGGGUUAGGCAGAAUAUGACCUUUAUUUGAGCUUACCCACCACAGUGGAAAUACAGUCUGUACACCAUAUGUUUGUUACUGUAACUUCUGUAUCACAAUUAAAAUCAAAACAGUUUUUAAAAAGUAAACCCAAUCAAAACCCACUACUUAGGAAUCAAUAAGGUCUUUGAAGCCACAGCAACAAUUAAAUAUGGUUAAGACCCAUACGUAGAAAGAUGGUUGGUUGGAAAAUGAAUUAAACUUCCAACUUGCUCACAUAAAAUUACAACAAGGCAAAACUGUUUUUCAUAGAGAUACAGUCCACUGGAAUCACCAACACCAGACAACUUUUGUUUUCUAGUCCUGGGAUAAUAAUGAAUCCAGACAUCUUUUAGACAGUUUUCUGUUUUCUUUCUAAUCAGAGAUUUAUGGAUGUAUGCAAUGACACUACCAUUAGUAAUUGUAAUCUUGAUAAGAUAGUCCAAUUCUUCAUCACCAUGAACAGCAAGUUGCAAGUGACAAAGAGUAAUAUGCUUUACCUUUAAGCCUUUGGAUGCCCUUCCUACCAGUUCUAGUACCUUUGUGGUGUGUACUCCAGGAUGGCUGCAUGGUACUCAGUGGCAGUUGUGCCCACAUGUCCAUGGCUGUGUUCCUGGAUUCAGGCGUUGAUGAAGACAGACCAGCAAGAACUGCAAGCACACUCUCUGUUAGUAGGAAACCACCGUUGUCUUGGCCUUUUCUAAGUCCUUUAUCAUGCACAACACGAUGUUUUAAGGUAUAGGUACCUUGUGGAAUGACUAAAUUGAUUUAAUUAAUAUGUGCAUUUCCUGACAUAGUUAUCAGUUUUGUGGUGAAAGCACUUUACAUCCACUGUCUUGGCAUUUUUCAAGAACACAAUAGAUUAACUGUAAUCACCAUGGUGUACAAUAUAUUUCUAGAACUUACUCCUCCUAUCUAACAGAUUUUUCAAAUCUUUUGACCAACAUCCUCUUCCCACCCAAAAUACUCCAGUUUCUGGCAACCACUAUUUUGCUCUUUAGUUCUAUACAAUUUUUUUUUUUAGAUUCCACAUGUGAGUGAGAUUAUGUAGUAUUUGUUUCUUUGUGCUUAGCCUAUUUCACAAUAUUUAUAUCCUUUUAGUUAAUCUUUAUUGUUGCAAAUGACAGAAUUGUAUUCUUUUUAUAGCUGAAUAGUAUUUUAUUGUGUAUAUAUAUAUAUAUAUCACAUUUCCUUUAUGCAUUCAUCCAUGGACACUCCAGUUGAGUCCAUGUCUUGGCAAUUGUGAAUAAUGCUGCAAUAAACAUGAGAGUGCAGGUGUCUCUUUGGCAUACUGAUAUUAUUUCCUUUGGAUAUAUACUCAGUUGUGGAAUUGUUGAAACAUAUGGUAGUCCUAUUUCUAUUUUUUCUAGGAAUCUCCAUAUUGUGUUCUAUAAUAGCUGUACUAAUUUACAUUCCCACCAACAUUUUGUGAAAGUUCCCUUUUCUCUACAUCCUCACCAAUACUUGAUGUAUUUUAUCUUUUUUACAAUAGUCAUUUUUAUUGGGGUGAAGUAGUUAUCUCACAAUGCUUUUUAUUUGCAUUUUUCUGAUGAUUAGGGAUGUUAGACAUUUUUUAUAUACCUGCUGGCUACUGGUAUGUCUUCUUUUAAGAAAUGUCUAUUCAGGAUUUUGCCCAUUUUCUAAUUGGGUUGCUUUCCUGUUAUUAAUUUGAGUUUUUAAAUAUGUAUCAUAUAUUAACCCCUUAGAUGUAAAGUUUGCAUAUAUUAUUCCACUCUGUAAGUGUCUCUUUACUCUGUAGAGUAUUUCCUUUGUUGUGCAGAAACUUUUCAGUUUGAUGUAACCCAUUUGCCUAUUUUCUCUUUUGUUGCCUGUGCUUU